rnacentral:rRNA from 13 species
UUGAGAGUUUGAUCCUGGCUCAGAACGAACGCUGGCGGCAGGCCUAACACAUGCAAGUCGAGCGCACUCUUCGGAGUGAGCGGCGGACGGGUUAGUAACGCGUGGGAAUAUACCCAGAUCUAAGGAAUAGCCACUGGAAACGGUGAGUAAUACCUUAUACGCCCUUCGGGGGAAAGAUUUAUCGGAGAAGGAUCAGCCCGCGUUAGAUUAGAUAGUUGGAGGGGUAAUGGCCUACCAAGUCUACGAUCUAU